rnacentral:lncRNA from 1 species
CCCCGGGGUCAGAAAGAUUUAUUACUUCCUCGGCGAGCGAGAAGCCGCAGACCGGCCGGGGCGCGCGAGCCGGGAGCGGGAAGCCUGCAAGCGGCGCUCGGCGUCCUGGGAGCGCGCUCCGGGCCCGGGGGCGUCCUGGGCCCGCGAGGGGCGGGCGGUGCCGACGCCGAGGGGGAGCCGACGGGGCGGCCGCUGGGGGCGCGGGGGGCGGGGCUGCGGGCUUCUGCCCAAACUUUAACGCCGGCUCUUUCCGACCGCAGAAACGUGCGGCUGAGCCCGGCGGCCGCAAGGAGUCUCCCAAGUUUCUCCGAGCCCCGCGCCCGCGCCCGCGCCCAGGAGCUACGGCCCGGGUCGUGGGGGCGGCGGCCCGAGCGGCGUCCGGGGACUCGAGCCCCGACCUCCAGCCCGCGCGGCGGCGGCGGCGGCGCGGCGGCGGCGGCGGCGGGAGCCCGGCUCGGCGAGGGGGCGGGGGCGGGCGCGGGACGGGCGGCGGAGGAGGGCGGCGCGGCGAGGGGGAGGAGCCGCGGCGACGGACGGCGGCGCGCACCAACCCGGCGCAGGCUGGCAGGAGCGCGCAGAGGCUGGCCCGGGCGCGCUGCAGCCGCUCGGCGUAGGGGGAGUCGGGUAGCAGCAUCCUCCCGGGCGCCGCUUUCGCGCGGCGGCGGCGGCGGCGGCGGGCGGCGGCUUCCUCUGCCUCCUCUGCCCCGAGACCUCGUUGGCCCGGAGCGGCUGGUGCCGGGGGGCGGGCCGGCAAGGGGGCGCUGCGGACUCGGGCUCCCCGGCCGACUGCUGUGCGCGGCGAGCCCUCCCGGGCCAGUCGGAGGCUGCGGAGCGGCGGGCGCCGCCGGCAAUGCCGGCCCGGGCAUCCUCCGAGUGAUGGGAGAAGCCGCCGCCGCCGCCGCCGCCGCUGCGGGGUCGCGCUGCGCCCCAUCCGCCGCCGCCGGAGGGAUGGGAAGAUUCCGGGCGCGGAGGCCGAGAGCCGGGAAGGCGGAGCCGCUCUGCCGGGAGCUGGGUCCCGCCUGA